rnacentral:sRNA from 1 species
UUGUGAGGUCUGAUGGGCAAGCAGUUGGAGCCGAAUGACUGAAAGGUUGAGGCCGAAUGGUUGAAACCUGUGAGGCUGAACGGUCGAGACGUUGAGGCCGAAUGACCGGACAGUUGGGGUCGGAUGCUGGAUGCUUGAUGCCCAGUUUGGCUAAGUCUUUAUGAUGUCGAAUGACUGAGCAGUUGGGACCGAAUGGCUGAAACCUGUGAGGCCGAACGACCGAGACGUUGGGGCCAAAUGCUUGAGGUCAAUGUAAGGCCAAACGGUUGAAGCCACGAGAUCGUCGUUCACCGCUCGUCCAAGUUGACUUGUUCCUUGAGAAACUUGUCGUUCAUCAGCUUGGGCUUUGUCUAGAAUCGGGCGACAGUGGUUCUGUAAUGAACUCGUCGUUUACCGCCCGGCCAAGUUGACAGUGGUUCCUUGUGGAACUCGCCAUUCAUCAACUUGGGCUUUGUCUAGAAUCAGGCUACAACGAUUCUUUAAUGAACUCACUGUUCACCGCUCGACCAAGUUGAUAGUGGCUCCUUGAGGAACUCGUCGCUCAUCAACUUGGGCUUUAUCUAGAGUCGGGCGGCAAUGAUUCUUUAUGAACUUGCCGUUCACCACCCAGUUAAGUUGGUAGUUCACUAAAGAACUCGCUCCUUUGGCUCCGGACGAUAAUGGUUCUUUAUGAACUCGCCGAUCUUCGCCCAGUUAAGUUGACAGUUCACUAAAAAACUCGCUCCUUUGGCUCCUGGUGGAAGUGGUUCUUUAUGAACUCGUUGUUCACCGCCCGGUUAAGUUGGCAGUUCACUAAAGAACUCACUCCUUUGGUUCCAAGCGGUAGUGGUUCUUUAUGAACUCGUCGUUCAUCGCCCGGUUAAGUUGAUGGUUCACUAAAGAACUCGCUCUUGUGAGGCUGUGGACGGUCGAGCAGUUGAGGCCAUGGAUGGCCGAGUAGUUGAGGCCGAAGGGUUGAAUGUUUGAUUCCAAAUUUUAGCUAAGUACCUGUGAGGCCAUGGAUGACUAAGAAGUUGAGGCCGAAGGAUCGAAUGUUUGAUUCCAAAUUAUGCUAAGUCCCUCUAAGGUUGGAGGGCCAAGCAAUUGGGGCCGAAUGGCCGAACAGUUGAGGUCGAAGGGCCGAAUAUUUGAUGCCAAAUUUGGUUGUAUGUAAGGCCAUAGACGAUCGAGCAAUUGGGGCUGGACGAUUACGGUCAUGGGAGACCAUGGAGUUGAGGUCAAGUUAAGGUCCGACGAUUAGGGCCAUGGUCGGCCUUGAAGUUGAGGCCUAAGAUAAGGCUGGACGAAUGCGACCGUGGACGACCGUGAAAUCGAAUCCAAGUGUAAAAUCACUUAAUGGAGAGAGUUUCUUCAAUCCAUAUCAAUAUGUAGGGGCCGGGUCGAUAGAAUGAUGCAGAGACUAUGUCCUUGUCUGGUUCCUCGUGGAUCACAGGGGAUGUUGCUCUGCCCCACAGUGGGUGCCAAAAUGUUUUGGAUGUAGGGUUGACGUCCUGUACUCAAAACACGCAAGAUUGUGUGGAUGGCUGGACGGACCUUGAAGACUGGGCAGACCUUGCAAACCGGACAAACUAAGCAUUAUUGAAGAUCGAACAGGCGGGGCUCAGGGCGGACAAACACUGCUCCAUGCACUAGGUUGAAGACUGAUCGGACGUUUCUCUGUGCACUCCAGGUGGUCGUCCUCCUCCUUCUCCAAGCUGGGCGGGCGGGCACCUGUCAAAGGCACUCUGACGCUCAAGUUAGUAAUGUAAUCGAGCAUGCAAUCACGCCUUAAUCUUCAUUAGGGGCUUUAGUGAGCUAUUAUUGUUUAUAACUCAACCUUGUAGUCGGCCCGCUGGAUGGUCUGAUGGUCGGUCGGCUCAGAUGGUCAGCCUAUGUAGUCGUCUUGGACGGCCGACCUGAUCGUGUGCAGGAGGUUGUAUGGUACACUGGGAUCGUACGGUACAAUAACCUACAAACUUGUUACCCAUUCUUGGAUUAUGUUUGUACCCUUUGUUUGUGCAUGUCAUUGAGUUUUUGUAGUAGAUGUAUAUAUGAUAAUGAUGAUGUGUGAGUAAGGUUUCAAGUGAUGAGAAUAUUGAGCAUGUUCCAACUUUAUGUCUCUUUUGAUAUAUUCCCUACUUGGGAGUUAGCAAUAUGGGUCUUGAUCCAGUUUCUCUAUCUCAUUGUUGGGUGUUGCUCCCUCCACCACCACCCUAUACUUCCUCCACCUUCUCACAUUAUUUUAAGGCUUAAUUACCUACUUAGUCCCCAUGUUAGGAGUUAAUUUUCUGUUUAGUACCCGGUUUUAAAAAUGUAGGCAUUUGGUACCUAU